rnacentral:rRNA from 1 species
GUCUACAGCCACCCCGCCCUGAACGCGCCCCAUCUCAGUCUGAUCUCAGAAGUUAAGCAGGAUCGGGCCUGGUUAGAACUCAGAUGGGAGAAAAUC